GGCCGGUUAGCUCAGUCAGUUGAGCAUGGAGCUAACAACGCUAAGGUCGCGGGUUCAGCUCCCGCUUGGUCU
rnacentral:tRNA from 1 species